UGGGGAAUAUUGGGCAAUGGGCGAAAGCCUGACCCAGCGACGCCGCGUGGGCGAUGAAGGCCUUCGGGUUGUAAAGCCCUGUCAUGCGGAAAGAACGACCCUGUGACGCAUACUCACAGGGAGUGACGGUACCGCAGGAGGAAGCACCGGCUAACUCCGUGCCAGCAGCCGCGGUAAUACGGAGGGUGCAAGCGUUGUUCGGAAUUAUUGGGCGUAAAGGGCGCGUAGGCGGUAAUGUAAGUCAGAUGUGAAAUACUUCGGCUCAACUGAAGAACUGCAUCUGAAACGGCAUAACUAGAGUACAGGAGAGGGAAAGGGAAUUCCCGGUGUAGAGGUGAAAUUCGUAGAUAUCGGGAGGAACACCAGUGGCGAAGGCGAUUUCCUGGCCUGAUACUGACGCUGAGGCGCGAAAGCGUGGGAGCAAACA
rnacentral:rRNA from 1 species